rnacentral:rRNA from 1 species
AAUAUUGCACAAUGGGGGAAACCCUGAUGCAGCGACGCCGCGUGAGCGAAGAAGGCCUUCGGGUCGUAAAGCUCUGUCCUAAGGGAAGAAACGGACGGUACCUUAGGAGGAAGCCCCGGCUAACUACGUUCCAGCGGCCGCGGUAAUACGUAGGGGGCGAGCGUUAUCCGGAAUUAUUGGGCGUAAAGGGUGCGUAGGCGGCCUUUUAAGUCAGAGGUGAAAGGCUACGGCUUAACCGUAAGUAGAAUUUGAAACUAAAAGGCUUGAGUGCAGGAGAGGGGAGUGGAAUUCCUAGUGUAGCGGUGAAAGGCGUAAAAAUUAGGAGAAACACCAGUGGCAAAGGCGACUCUCUGGACUGCAACGGACGCUGAGGAACAAAAGCGUGGGGGGCAAACA